AUGGGAGGGGGCACAGCCAGGCAGGACCCCCGAGAUGGGCACAGAGCUUUGCUGGGACCCCAAGGUGACAUUGGGAUGGACCCCCCCACCCCCUGCCAUUGGGACCCCCAGGUGCCACUGGGACCCCCCUGGUGCCAUCAUAGUUCAUUGGGACCCCCCUGUGCCACCAGGACCCCCCUGUGCCAUUGGGACCCCAACAUGACAUUGGGAUGGACCCCCAUGUGCCAUAGGGACCCCUAUGUGCCACCAGGACCCCCCCAUGCCAUCAUAGUUCAUUGGGACCCCCCUGUGCCAUUGGGAUGGACCCCCAUGUGCCACCAGGACCCCCGUGUGCCAUUGGGACCCUCUGUGCCAUUGGGACCCCAACACGACAUUGGGAUGGACCCCCACGUGCCACUGGGACCCCCCCAUGCCAUCAUAGUUCAUUGGGACCCCCCUGUGCCAUUUGGGACCCCCAUGUGUCUCCGGGACCCCCCAUGCCAUCGGGACCCCAGCAUGGCACUGGGAUGGACCCCCAGGUGUCACUGGGACCCCCCACGCCAUCAUAGUUCAUUGGGACCCCCCUGUGCCAUUGGGAUGGACCCCCAUGUGCCACCAGGAUCCCCUGUGCCACUGGGACCCCCAGGUGUCACCGGGACCCCCCCUUGCCAUCCUAUUUCAUUGCCCCCCCCUGUGCCAUUGGGACCCCCAUGUGCCACUGGGACCCCCCCGUGCCAUCAUAGUUCAUUGGGACCCCCCUGUGCCAUUGGGACCCUCAUAUGCCACUGGGACACCAACACAACAUUGGGAUGGACCCCCCAUAACAACAGGACCCCCAUGUGCCACCGGGACCCCCCCAUGGCAUCGGGACCCCAGCAUGGAACUGGGAUGGACCCCCAGGUGUCACCGGGACCCCCCUGUGCCAUCAUAGUUCAUUGGAACCCCCCCAUGGCAUUGGGACCCCAACACAACAUUGGGAUGGACCCCCCCAUAACAACGGGACCCCCAUGUGCCACCAGGACCCCCCCAUGCCAUUGGGACCCCAGCAUGGAACUGGGAUGGACCCCCAGGUGUCAUUGGGACCCCCCCAUGUGCCAUCAUAGUUCAUUGGGACCCCCAUGUGCCAUUGGGAUGGACCCCCAUGUGCCAUUGGGACCCCAACAUGACAUUGGGAUGGACCCCCCUGUGCCAUCAGGACCCCAGCAUGGCACUGGGAUGGACCCCCAGGUGUCACUGAGACUCCCCCGUGCCAUCAUAGUUCAUUGGGACCCCCCUGUGCCAUUGGGACCCCAACAUGACAUUGGGAUGGACCCCCCUGUGCCAUAG
rnacentral:lncRNA from 1 species